UCUGGGUCUACAUCUACGAAUUCAACAAAUCGAAAAUUGUCGACCCGAAUCAUAUCCCCACCAACAUGGAGAUCAAGAUUCCGGCCAAGGAGCUCUACGGCAUCGACGCCGACAACAGCGCCUCCGUAGAAAAGGCCAAGGCCAUUCAGGCUCGCCUAAACGCCCAGAAGUAAUCCGCACAAGUUCUGGUUUUCCACUGGGGGAGGGAGAGAGGACGCGUCGCUCGGAGCGAUGUGCCCUCUCUCUUUUUUUGCCGUAAGCCAUGGUGCGAUUCGGAAGAUCUUCCGAGGUGUUUCCGGACGUGGUGAAAUACCCUUCCGAGGUGGUCAUAAUCACGUUCCGAACGUCAUUAAAUAUGGUUCAGGACGUGAUUAAAUACCCCGUCGAACCGUAUUAAAUACCCCUCAGGACGUCAUUAAAUACCCCUCUAAACCAUAUUAAAUACCCCUCGGAACGUGGUUAAAUAACGUCCAGAACGUGGUUGUGACCACCUCGGAACCGUAUUAAACCACGUUCGGAACGUGAUUAAAUACUAUUCGGAACCGUAUUGUAAUACGUUCUGAGGUGGUUGUAAUAGGUUCGGAACGUAUUCCGACCACCUCGGAACGUAUUCCGAUACGUUCGGAACGUGUCGAGACGACCGGACCUUUUCACCCAAAAACAGAAGAGCCACCCGAUCACUUGAUUUGAUCGAGCGGCUCUUUCUUUUCGUCUCUUCCAUUGGAAUGGUCGGGGGGGCUUAUUGCAGCAGCCAGAAGUAGAUCUCGGAGUCUUUUUCGCCGGAUUCUAUUUUCCCUUCUUUGGCCAGCCAUCCGAUGGCGGCAAACAGUUCUUUGUCUGUUCUCAGCUUUGUUUCCUUCUUGAGCUCUUUUACACUCAUGCGUCCAGCCUUGCUCAAAGCUCUCCAUACAAGGCCUGCGUUUGUUCCGAUCAGCUUAAUCAUAUUCCCUUGAAAAUGUAUGUUUAACGUGGGCGCAAAGAUAGGAGUGCUUUUGAAAUCGAGGCACUAUCAAACGUCCUUCUGGUACCACGCGGCGCGGCGGAAAUAGACGAUGCUGCCGAUUGUGAUGGCGACGUAGUAGACGAUGUCCGAAACGAAACUCAGGUGUACCGGUAGGCGGAGGCGGACGACGGCGACGUAGAUAUAUAAGGUAUAGACCGCCAGGGCGAGCAUCUCCAAGAGGAAGGCGUGCCGUGUGUUGCCCGUGCCGGAGAUGGCGCUGAAAGCGAUGCUCGAGGCCGCGGAGCUGAGCGAGGCCAGGGCGAUGACGACGACCGAGGGGAUGGAGGCGGUGAUCAGCUCGGCUUCAUUCGUGUAAACGGAUAGGAAGAGGCGCGGCAGGAGCACAAGCAGGGACGAAAGUCGGGCUUAGUGAUCCGGUGGUGCCGAGUGGAAGGGCCAUCGCUCAACGGAUAAAAGCUACCCUGGGGAUAACAGGCUAAUCUCUCCCAAGAGUCCAUAUCGACGGGGAGGUUUGGCACCUCGAUGUCGGCUCAUCACAUCCUGGGGCUGAAGUAGGUCCCAAGGGUUCGGCUGUUCGCCGAUUAAAGUGGUACGUGAGCUGGGUUCAGAACGUCGUGAGACAGUUCGGUCCCUAUCCAUCGCGGGCGCAAGAAACUUGAAGGGGGCUGCUCCUAGUACGAGAGGACCGGAGUGGACGAACCGCUGGUGUACCAAUUAUCCUGCCAAGGGUACAGUUGGGUAGCUACGUUCGGGACGGAUAAACGCUGAAAGCAUCUAAGCGUGAAACCAGCCUUGAGAUGAGGUUUCUCAUAGCAUAAGCUAGUAAGAUCCCAUGUAGACGACAUGGUAGAUAGGCCAGGUGUGGAAGAGCCGUGAGGUUUGGAGCUGACUGGUACUAAUCGAUCGAGGGCUUUACUU
rnacentral:rRNA from 1 species